rnacentral:rRNA from 1 species
GAUGAACGCUGGCGGCGUGCCUAAUACAUGCAAGUCGAGCGAACGGACGAGAAGCUUGCUUUUCUGAUGUUAGCGGCGGACGGGAGAGUAACACGUGGAUAACCUACCUAUAAGACUGGGAUAACUUCGGGAAACCGGAGCUAAUACCGGAUAAUAUUUUGAACCGCAUGGUUCAAAAGUGAAAGACGGUCUUGCUGUCACUUAUAGAUGGAUCCGCGCUGCAUUAGCUAGUUGGUAAGGUAACGGCUUACCAAGGCAACGAUGCAUAGCCGACCUGAGAGGGGGAUCGGCCACACUGGAACUGAGACACGGUCCAGACUCCUACGGGAGGCAGCAGUAGGGAAUCUUCCGCAAUGGGCGAAAGCCUGACGGAGCAACGCCGCGUGAGUGAUGAAGGUCUUCGGAUCGUAAAACUCUGUUAUUAGGGAAGAACAUAUGUGUAAGUAACUGUGCACAUCUUGACGGUACCUAAUCAGAAAGCCACGGCUAACUACGUG